UAUAUACUCCCUCCGUCCAACAAAAAAUGUCUCAAGUUUGUUAAAAUUUGGAUGUAUGUAGACAUGACUUAGUCUAUAGAUGCAUUUAAAGUUGAGACAUCCUUUGUUGGAUAGAGGAGAGUAUGAA
rnacentral:pre_miRNA from 1 species